rnacentral:tRNA from 1 species
ACCUGGCUGGCUCAGCUGGUGGAGCAUGUGACUCUUGAUCUCAGGUUUGUGAGUUCACCCCAUGUUGGGUG